rnacentral:rRNA from 1 species
CUCAAAUUUGAAAUCUGGCACCUUCGGUGUCCGAGUUGUAAUUUGAAGAAGGUAACUUUGGAGUUGGCUCUUGUCUAUGUUCCUUGGAACAGGACGUCACAGAGGGUGAGAAUCCCGUGCGAUGAGAUGCCCAAUUCUAUGUAAAGUGCUUUCGAAGAGUCGAGUUGUUUGGGAAUGCAGCUCUAAGUGGGUGGUAAAUUCCAUCUAAAGCUAAAUAUUGGCGAGAGACCGAUAGCGAACAAGUACAGUGAUGGAAAGAUGAAAAGAACUUUGAAAAGAGAGUGAAAAAGUACGUGAAAUUGUUGAAAGGGAAGGGCUUGAGAUCAGACUUGGUAUUUUGCAAGCCUUACCUUCGUGGUGGGGUCCCCUGCAGUUUACUGGGCCAGCAUCGGUUUGGAUGGUAGGAUAAUGACUUGGGAAUGUGACUUUGCUUCGGUAAAGUGUUAUAGCCCUUGUUGAUACUGCCUGUCUAGACCGAGGACUGCGUCUUUGACUAGGAUGCUGGCAUAAUGAUCUUAAGUCGCCCGUCUUGAA